rnacentral:rRNA from 1 species
CAACCCCCCCUUCUAAGUAUAUUCUGUCACUGAUACCUAACAAACCGGUCGCCCUCGGUGUCCGAAUUGUAGUGUGGAGAAGCAUCCUCAAAGGCGGAUCGGGCCCAAGUCCCCUGGAAGGGGGCACUGGAGAGGGUGAGAGCCUCAUCAUGCCCGAAACCUGAAGCACCACGAGGCAUUGUUGGCGAUUCGAGUUGUUUGGGAAUGCAGCCCCAAUCGGGCGGUAAAUUCCGUCCAAGGCUAAAUACUAGCGAGAGACCGAUAGUGAUCAAGUAUCACGAGGGAAAGAUGAAAAGGACUUUGAAAAAAGAGUCAAAGAGUGCUUCAAAUUGACGGGAGGGAAGCAGAUGGGGGUCGACAAUGUGCGUCGGUCAGAUAUGGAAUGGCGAGAGCCGAUCUGCCAAUCGACUCAGGGCAUGGAGCGACGUGAAUUGUGAUGGUGGCCCAAGCCCGGGUUGUUGACAUGCUCUUGGAGACGUCAUCAUCGCUAUUAUGGUUGGAAGAUCGCGUUGUUUGGUGUGCUUUGGCACCUGUGUGCUCCGGGCGUCGGCCUGUGGGCUCCUCAUUCGGCCCGUCUUAAAACACGGACCAAGGAGUCUGACAUGUGUGUGAGUCAAAUGGCAAGUAAACUCGUAAGGCGCAAGGAAGCUGAAUGGUAGGAUCCCCUUUUGGUAAGGAUAAUUGGCGAUGCGGGAUGAAUCGGAAGCUGGGUUACGGUGCCCAACUGCGCGCUAACCUAGACCCCACAAAGGGUUAUGGUUGAUUAAGACAGCAGGACGGUGGUCAUGGAAGUCAAAAUCUGCUAAGGAGUGUGUAACAACUCAACUGCCGAAUAAACUAGCCCCAAAAAUGGAUAGCACUAAAGUGCACGACUUAUACCCGGCCGUUGGGGCAAGGACUAGGAACCGAUGAGUAGGAGGGCACGCCGGUUGCUGCAAAACCUGGGGCGUGAGCCUGGGUGGAGAGAUCGUCGAUGCAGAUCUUGGUGGUAGUAGCAAAUAUUCAAAUGAGAACUUUGAAGGCCGAAGAGGGGAAAGGUUCUAUGUGAACGACACUUGCAUAUGGGUUAGUCGAUCCUAAGGGACGGGGGAAGCCUAUCUAAUAGCGCUCUAAGUGUGCAGUCCGAAACGGAAUCAGGUUAAAAUUCCUGAAACGGGACGUGGCAGCUGACGACAACGUUAGGGAGUCCGAAGACGUUGGUAGAGGCCGCGGAAAGAGUUAUCUUUUCUAUUUAAUAGACUGCCCACCUUGGAAACGGCUCAGCCGGAGGUAGGGUCCAGUGGCUGGAAGAGCACCGCACGUCGCGUGGUGUCCAGUGCGCCCCCGAUGGCCCUUGAAAAUCCAGAGGACCGAGUGCCCUCCCACACCCGGUCGUAUUCAUAACCGCAUCAGGUCUCCAAGGUGAACAACCUGUGGUCGAUGGAACAAUGUAGGAAAGGGAAGUCGGUAAAAUGGAUCUGUAACCUCGGGAAAAAUAUUGGCACUAAGGGUUGGGCAUGGGGGUCCCAGUCCCGAACCCAUCGGUUGUCGGUGGACUACUCGAGCUGCUCUCACAGCGAGAGCGGGUCGCCACGUGCCGGUCGGGGGACGGAUUAGGAACGGGCCCUUCAGGGCCUCUUCCCCGGGCGUCGAACAGUCGACUCAAAACUAGUACGGACAAGGGGAAUUCGACUAUUUAAUUAAAACAAAGCAUUGCGAUGGUCCCUACGGAUGUUGCCGCAAUGUGAUUUCUUCCUAGUGCUCUGAAUGGGAAAGUGAAGAUAUUCAGCCAAGCGCGGGUAAACGACGGGAGUAACUAUGACUCUCUUAAGGUAGCCAAAUGCCUCGACAUCUAAUUAGUGACGUGCAUAAAUGGAUUAACGAGAUUCCCAUUGUGCCUGUGUACUAUCCAACAAAACCACAGCCAAGGGAACAGGCGUGGCAGAAUCUGCGGGGAAAAAAGACCCUGUUGAGCUUGAAUCUAGUCUGACAUUGUGAAAUGACUUGAGAGGUGUAGGAUGAGUCGGAGCUGGAAACAACAGAAGUGAAAUACCACUACUUUUAACGUUAUUUUACUUAUUCCUUGAAUUGGAGGCGGGGUGUAGCCCCUGUUUUUGGACCCAAGGUCGGCCUUGGUGGUCGAUCUGGGCGGAAGACAUUGUCAAGUGGGGAGUAUGGCUAGUGCAGCACAUCUGUUAAAAGAUAACGCAAGUGUCCUAAGAUGAGCUCGACGAGAACAUAAAUCUCAUGUGGAACAAAAGGGUAAAAGCCGAUUUGAUUCUGAUUUCUAGUACGAAUACGAACUGUGAAAGCAUGGCCUAUCGAUCCUUUAGUCCUUCAGAAUUUGAAGCUAGAGGUGUCAGAAAAGUUACCACAUGGAUAACUGGCUUGUGAUAGCCAAGCGUUCAUAGCAAUGUUUUUUUUAUCCUUCGAUGUCGGCUCUUCCUACCAUUGUGAAGCAGAAUUUACCAAGUGUUGGAUUGUUCACCCAAAAAUAGGGAACAUGAGCUGGGUUUAGACCAUCGUGAGACAGAUUAGUUUUACCCUACUGAUGACAGUGUCACAAUAGUAAUUCAAUCUAGUAAGAGAGGAACCAUUAAUUCGCACAAUUGGUCAUUGCGCUUGGUUGAAAAGCUAGUGGUGCGAAGCUACGGUGCGUUCGAUUAUGUCUGAAUGCCUGUAAGUCAGAAUCCGGGCUAGAAGCGAUGCUUGUGCUCGUCACUCAUUUGUCGACCUGCAGUAGGGGGCCUCGGCCGCAUAGAGUCCCGUGUCAUUGGUGACCCUCGCAGGGUAGACGAACCUCGUGGGAUGCCUUGAAGCGCUAUUCCACACUGGGCAGCAGGUAGAAUCCUUUGCAUAUGAAUUAAAUACGCGACGGGGUGUUUUAAGUGGCAGAGUGGCCUUGCUGCCAUGAUCCACUUAGAUUCAAUCCUUGUCGCUUCGAUUCGU